rnacentral:rRNA from 1 species
UCGCUGCCCGGGACUGAGCCAUUUCGAGAAAUUCGGGGAUUGCCGAUUAGCGGUCUUUCGGGAUUGCUUUUUGGUGAGAACCAACUUAAUCGCAGUGGCUUGAACCGGGCAAAAGUCGUAACAAGGUGGCUGUAGGUGAACCUGCUGCCGGAUCA